AUAAUGCAUAAAAUAAAAAAUUAAGACAAUGUAGCAUCUGAGAUAAAUCUUGAGCUUUAUUACUGGCCGCCUUAUUAAAACCUUCCAUCCCUAGGAAGUAAAAGACUACAAAGCCACGUUCUAGAAUUACAAAAAGGAAAGAAACUUAUAAAAAGAUAAGAAAAUAACAAAAGAAAAAGAAAAUGACUACACUACUAAUCUACCGAUAGGUCCGAUGUCGAGUCUUCUUCAAGGUUCAUAUCUUCAAACAUGGCCCGUAUUUCCGGGUUUUCUACAGUGUGCUCGGCUCUCCUUCUUGAUAGCUCCCCAUCUUUCAUGGACAUUAGUGUUCUCAUCAUAUCAGGGGUGAGACUAG
rnacentral:lncRNA from 1 species